rnacentral:rRNA from 1 species
UACGUAGGGGGCAAGCGUUAUCCGGAAUUACUGGGUGUAAAGGGAGCGCAGACGGAAAUGCAAGCCAGAUGUGAUAUGCGGGGGCUCAACCCCCGAACUGCAUCAGGAACUGCAUAUCUGGAGUGCCGGAGGGGUAAGCGGAAUUCCUGGUGUAGCGGUGAAAUGCGUAGAUAUCAGGAGGAACACCGGCGGCGAAGGCGGCUUACUGGACGGCAACUGACGUUGAGGCUCGAAAGCGUGGGGAGCAAAC